GCCUGCGUUAUGUUUGCAGGAGUCAUCGUGCCAAAUUUAGAGCAGUAUCUCUUAUAGACUUUAAGAUCCACGAGUUGUAAUGGUCACCUGUGCUGCCCAUUCGAGUUUAAAAAAAAUUAGAUUAGAAUAACGUCUAAUCUUAACGAAACUCUCCACUUUUAUCGAUAGGUGUUAGCAAUUUUUUUUUGUUUUAUUCAUUCCUAAUGUGCAUACUAGGCGUUAGUACUUACCUUGACAUUAGCCCUAGCAGCUUAUUAGGUGCCGUCAAAAGUCUUUUUCUUUUUUGAGCUGUCAAACUAAGCAGACGCACACCUUAGUACCAGCUACAACAUAUACAUAAAUCAAGUGGGUGAAACACGUGCAAAGUGAUCACAACAAAAUAAAACAAAUUAAAUCUGAAAAAUCCCCACACAUCAUUGGGCAAAGAAGUGAAGCAAAGACAUCAUUAAAGUCGCAAACAAACCUAGCCUGGGAUCAGGCGUCUUCUAUGGCCGAAAAUCCACAAGAGUCCCACCCGCACCACCUGGAUUCCCUACCUGGAUCAUUACACAUAGUUUUUAUCAGGAUGAGUAACCCUAUCAAAAAUAAAAAAAACACCCACUUAGUCUAUCCCGUCUACAUUUAUACUGAUGUAGACAAUACAUCACAAUACUGAUACACCGGAUAGGAGAAAUUUCGGAUAUCACCUAUAAAUAUAAAACGAUAUCAAAGUAUACAAUAGCGAACGAGAGUCGCCUUCCAAUCGUGUAUUACAUUUCUGUUGUUGUUCACAAACACAAAAAUUAAAUUACAUUAAAAUAUUACAAACUUAUAUUGAACUAGAAAUUUAGAAAAGAAAAAAAAUUAGAUGUAAAAGAAAUGAAUACGAAAGAAAUUAUAGAUAUAGAAAAAUAAUAGUAAUAAUUAUAUUCAAUUACAUUAAAAUAGUAUGAACUUAUAUUGAACUAGAAAUUUAAAGAAAAAAAAAAAAAUAUAUAUAUAGUGAAAAGAAAUUAUGAAUUCUAUUAAAGUACAUUAAAUUCUACGAACUCGAAUUGAACUAAAGAAAAACAAAAAUGUAAAUAAGGAAAGGCAUGCAAAAAGAGAAAUAAUGUAGUUGUAAGAUAUAUUUAAGAAAUUCAACCUCUCAACUAAUCAGCCCAACCUCUACGAGACUCCAACAUGAAGGCCUUCAUCGAGGAUCAUCACAUUGGGGUGAGUGAACAAAAAAAUAAAACCUAAAAGAUAACUAAAUACCUAAAAGAGAAAAUUCUAAAAGAUAACUAAAUACCUAAAAGAGAAAAUUUUAAAAGAUAACUAAAUGCCUAAAAGAGAAAAAUUUUAAAAGAUCAGAAUGUGUAGGAGGUUAAAAAUUCUAAGAACUGGUUUGUAAGAUUUAAAAGAAAAAAAAAACUGUAUAUGAAAAAAAAAAAAACAAAUUACCUAUCAAUCGGGCAAUUAUGCUAUUCUGCCAUGCUCAUAUCAAUAA